rnacentral:lncRNA from 1 species
AAGACCAUUGAGUCCAAGCAGAAAGAGAUUGAUGAUUACGUCGCGAAGAUCUUGGCACUCCGAAAAGAUUUGAAAGCUGCUACUGCUGAUCGUACCAAAGAGACUGAACUUCUGAAGAGUCAGCUAGCUAGCGAGAAAGGGCACGUAGCCUCGCUUGAGGCUACUAUAGCGGAGUUAAAGAAGCAAGCUGCUCAGAGCCAACGUGAAACAACUGAGCUGAA